rnacentral:ncRNA from 13 species
GUGUAGUAUGAAAGGAGAGACGUUUAGCACUCCCCUAGACAAGGAUGGAAACACAUAUAAAUGGUAAGGCACAGGUCGCCUUUCGGUGGCUCUUACCAGAUUUUUUU